AGGGCGGGCUCCGGCGGCCAUGGCGGCGGCCGUGGCGGAGGCGGCGGCGCCCGACUACGAGUCAGCGGAGCUGUACACGCGCUCGUUCCGCGUGGGCGCCCUGGGCCUCAGCUGGCGGCGGCUGCUGGGACCGCCCGACCUGUCGCUGGCGGCGGCGGCGGAGGAGGAGGAGGUGGACGCGGCCGUGGCGGCGGCGCUGGGCUGCGCGCCGGGCACGGCGGCCGAGCUGCGCGCCGUCUGCAGCAUUGAUAUGUUAAUGUCUUCUGAAAAAGAAGAGGACUCAGAUGUUAUUCCUGAAGAUAGCAGCUUGCUCACUCUUCGAAUUAGAAAGAAGGCCUUAGAUAGGAGAGAAGAAAAAAUUAUUGUGGAUCGGGCUUGCAGACAAGAAACUCUUACCUAUGAGAUGGAGUCACAUGCAACUGGAAAGAGGCCAGACAAUCCAACAGAUCUAAUUGAGGAGGGUGAACUACUUUUAACUCUGAACAUAUUUUAUCCUGUUAUAUUUCAGAAGCAUAAAGAUCACAAACCCUACCAAACAGUCCUUGUACUGGGCAGCCAGAAGCUCACUGAGCUGAGAGACUCGAUUUCCUGCGUCAGUGACCUCCAGAUAGGUGGUGAGUUCAGCUGUCAGCCAGAUCAAGCACCAGAGCAUAUCAGCAAGGAUCUCUACAAAUCUGCCUUCUUCUAUUUUGAAGGCAUCUUCUAUAAUGAUAAAAGAUACCCAGAGUGCAGAGAUCUGAGCAGAAUAAUUAUAGAGUGGUCAGAAUCUCAUGACAGAGGCUAUGAAAAUCUUCAGUCUGUUAAGAUGGAGGACUAUGUAUUUAAUGAUUUAUCCCUCAAAAUUGGCUUUCCAUACCUUUACUGUCACCAAGGGAACUGUGAACACAUCAUUAUAAUCACAGAUAUAAGGCUUAUUCAUCAUGAUGACUGUCUGGACAGGAAUCUGUAUCCCUUGCUGGUCAAGAAACAUUGGCUAUGUACCAGAAAAUGUUUUGUGUGCAAGAUGUAUACAGCAAGGUGGGUAACCAACAGAGACAGUCUGGCACCAGAGGAUCCUUGUUUCUUCUGUGAUGUUUGUUUCCGGAUGCUCCAUUAUGAUGCAGAAGGCAAUAAACUGGGGGAGUUUCUUGCAUAUCCUUAUGUUGAUCCUGGGAUUUUCAACUGAAACUGACAUGUGCCAUGAUUAAUUCAGUGAAUGACAUUGUUGAAUAUGUUGCUCCGGCUGUUAAAACCACUGGACAGCGUGAAGUUUGAGCAUACUGCUGGGUUUCAGGUUAGGCAUGUAAUCCUCUCCCAUGAGCUGGAAGGAGCCCUUGAAGACUAUCUGGUGUGUUUUUCUGACUAGUUCUGGUUGGGGGAAGACAGCCUGCUCUGGCAAUCCACAUAGAGAAGAGUGACAAACUGAAACCUGUUGAGGUCCUGUGGCUGCAGAUUCUGCCAGUGCUGACUUGAUUAUCUUAGAUGUCUUGAAACAAAGGUAUCUGAAGCACCUGCAGGACUCCAUUGAUCACUCCCAUAUCUUACUCUUUCUAGUGGUAUAUUAAGUCAUUUGGAUAUAAAUCCAUGUGGUUUUUUAGGAACAACAACAAAAAAAAAAAAAAAAAAAAGAAGAAGUGUGUUUUUUUGUCCUGUCUUGUAAACCAGCCAGCUGUUGGCCUGUAUAUUUCAAUGAACCAACCACUUGUAAAAGCAGGUGGUGAUAGUUCUCUUACCCUUCAGGAGUCUGCAGACAAGGGAGUGCCCGGCCCAUCACAACUGUGACAAGUCCAACUGCUGGGGCUGGGCUGGUUUGUGGUGCUGCAACAGCUGCUUUAAAGGUCCUCUUUUAUACAGCUUGGUUGCAACUUCAGCAUUUGCCUCACAAGUUGCUACUCGUCAUCUUUCCCCUAUCUCCUCCUCUUUCAGCUGUCUCCCAUAAAUAUACAGGCUUUCCAGUCCCCUUCAGUAUUGGAUCAGGGAUCAUAUAGAGAGCUAGCUUGAGUUCUAAAGCACCAAUUAGUAGUUUUUUUGUGGAGGCUUUUUUUUUUCUCUUUCACUGUAGAGAGAAGGGAGUGGCAAAAUGUGAGUUUACUCUUUCAUUAAAUUAAUUUGCUUCAAAUAUGCUCUCACACAACCCAUUUAUCUUCUUAAUUAAAAGUUAAGAUUAAAUAUAUUUAAAAAUUUAAAGAUUAAAUUAAAAAUUCUUAAUCUGCAGAUUAAAAAAUUUUACUGGGUCAGUCCCAUACUUCCAGUAUGCAGAGAGAAAGUAGCCACAGUCUGGGUGUGGGAGUUGAGAGCAUUCAGUGCUUAACUACAAAAUAGAGAAGAAUCAUAUUAGAAGCUUGCUGUUCAUAUGACGUGGUCCUCUUUCAUAUUCAGUGAUGCAUCUUGAAUGACAAAUGGCACAAAAAGGUUACACUAAGUCAUAGGUUCUAAAGAUCCCAGAAGUUGUCACAGGACAACCGUGUGGUCUUUAUUUGAUAAGUCUUUCUGAAUGAGUCCUCUGAGUGAAAUCCAGCAUUGCGUACAAUGCCCAUUUGUAGCUAAAUCUCUAUGGCACCAGCUGGAUAUGUUUUAGCAACUUAUUAAAUGCUAUGAGUGUUUUGAUGAUGAAAACAUCCAGUCAGGUUUAUUACUUCAUAACAAAAAAUGAGAAAAAAAUUAUUUUUAAUAAUGCCUUGUCUGUGUGUUGCUAGUUGAAUCUCAAAAACAUUAACCUGAAUCUGUGGUUGGCUUUUGGAUUUGAUAUUUUUUUAAUUAAACACUCAGUGAUCAGACAGUAUGAUCCUUUACAAGUUAUUUCAAACUUCACAAAUGUAUUGCAGAUUCUCUCCCUAGUGAAAGUUUAUGCCUUGCUGACAAGGUGAUAUAGAACAGUUUCUUGUAUUGAGGAAGAGGAGAGGUCUCUCUGAUUUUAUGUUAAUAUGAAGUUCCAAAGCAAAACAUGAUUCAUGUAGACAGUGAUAGCACUGGCAUUUGCCAGUGCUAUCCAGGCACUUGUAACAUUAUCACAAGAGUCCCCUAUGUACUUGAAUGAUGAACAACUCAACAGGGCUGCACAAUAUUUUAAGCUGUAGUUAACUCCAUUCUUGAAGUAGGGAUGCUAUUGUUAAAGUUAAGUCUGCUUUAAAUUUUGUGCAUAGCUGUGUUUUCUUUCUAAGAAAGAAUCAGCCUUACUCCUGGUGAGACUUUAAGUGACUGACCAGUCACUCUCAGCUCUUAAGUUUGUAUCUUUCAAGAGACACAGUUUAGGGCCAUUCAAGCAUCUUUGAAGGUGAAAUGACCCAUUCUACAGUUAUGUCAGACUUUGUCUACAACUUACUCAGAGGGGGAAGAGGAGAGGGGCAGGCACAAAUCUCUUCUGUGAUCAGUGACAGGACCUUGAGGGAAUGGCCUGAAGCUGUGUCGGGGGAGGUUUAGGUUGGAUAUUCAGAAAAGGUUCUUCACCCAGAGGGUGGUUGGGCACUGAAAAAGCACCCUGGGGAAGUGGUUCACAGCACUAGCCUGACAGAGUUCAAGAAGUGUUUGAACAAUGCUCUCAGGCACAUGGGAUGUCUUGUGCAGGGCCAUGAGUUGGGACUUAGAAGAUCCUUGUGGGUCCUCUUCAACUCAGCAUGUUCUAUGUGUAUUCUCAGGAUUUUCAAACUCUAAUUUUUAACCUGGCUGUCCUCUGUUAAAUACCACAUACAAGUUGUUACAGUAUUGGGCAAAGUUUGUGUUUCAAGAAACAGCGCUUCAGAGAGGUUUGUACCUGUUCUAUUCCCUUUCAUGCCUCCAAGAGUUAAAACACUUUACCAGUGUUUCUGUUAAAAUUCUAGUUAGGGAUCCCUGAGUUAAUGCCAAAGCAGUAAAAUCAAAAUAGUACUAAAACCAGACUCAUGUUUUUCCUAUGAAUGGUUCUGUCUAUACAAGGAUGUAAUAAUCAGUUUGAAAUUCUUUAAUUCCAUAAAUUGUUCAAGACAAUGUUUUCCAACCAUUCUGCAGCAGCAGGUUCUGUGAGAACACCACACUCUUCAGUAUACUUUCUAUACCAAAAGCAAACCAUAAAAGUCACAUUGCAGUAAAUUGGCACAAUGCAUUUUGCAAGAACAGAACUAAACUUAUUAAAAAAAAACAAACAAUGAAGUAUACUCAUACAUGAACAUUGUAACAGCUAUAAAAAUGCCGCUUUCAACUCCUACAAAACACAGUGAAAAGACAUCCCCAACAAGAGUUGAAAAACUGCACAGAGGUAAGUAUCAUAGGAGGAGAGGUUUUAUACAAAUGAAGCAACUGGAGAGUUAGAAGUAUUUACACUUUUUCCUGCUAUUAACUAGACAAACACACAGUACCAAGUUAAAAAUAUACUACAACUCUAACUCCUGUAACAUAUAAGCAUUUUCUAAGUGGGAUUUUCAUCUUUUGAAAUGUGUUACCUGUUAAUACUGGAUAUAACUAUUGGCAAAAGUGUUUAAAGACUUUAAAACCAAGAUUAAAGGAACUUUUAUUCCACAAAAUUUAACUUCAAAAUACUAUGCUUAUAAAAUUAUUUAGAAUUUCAGCAGUCUAUAGGUUUCGAAUGUAAAACUUAACAAUCCUCUUUAAUUUGUAGUUAAAAAAACCAAACAACAAAACUUCAGUGAUGUCAUUUGUUUUCAAAGGCAGAAUCAUCUACUGGCUUUUCAAGCUCUCUCUCUUCACCACACGUCCUAGAAACAAAAUAAAGCAACGUUAUUGGAUCACAUACAAAAGCAGCAAGCAAGAUUUAUUCCAGGUGAUUGCACAGUCUAGAGCAAGGAAUGCUGAUGAACACUCAGCAGUACAUGAAAUCUGGAAAACUGAGGCUGUUAGCAAUGCCAGCUGUUGUUACCCCAACAACACCCUCAAACCUGAAGCUAAGCUGGCAGUGAGUGGCAUCACUAUUGAUGUAUGUGAUGGGCUGUGAAGGGCAGUCAUUCAGAGCUCCAUGUGUAUCUGUACUGUAGGUCAGUUUAGGUGGAAAAGUGCUCUAGCUUAACAUGCUUUACCUCCUGCCACUGAAAUCCACUGCAUCCCCAAACACUGAGGUAACCUUGUGGAGCAGUAUGUAUUUUUACAAAAAACAAACACCUGAAAAAUGUUCUUAAGUGCAAAUCAGAUCAGAAAUUUUAAGUUACAGGACUUCUUUCAAAAUUUCUGAAUUACAUCUUCAGAAAGGUACAGACAUGUCCUCCCUCUAGCAGAGGGAGAAAUGUUCAGAACCAAAUACAGUCUUGUGAUUUAAGAGGUUUACCAGCUCUUUUCUUAGAGUGAGCCACACAGGUGUUUUGGACAUUAUUUAUUUCAUUUACUUGUUUCUCACUUAUAAGAAACCAAAUACUGCAAAUAAAAAUGUAGAAGAAAUAUUGAAUGAAAUAAAGUUUGUAUGCUGUAGAGUAUGGAGCUUGAAUUCAGACAUGUGGAUGCACUUCUCAACAUGCACUGUAUUUGCAAGGGAUUUAUUUAAAAAUAGGUUUUUUGCUGUUAGCUACCAGUAAGUUAUCAAAGUCAAAGAUCAUUGGAGUGUAGGUUCAAAGCCACAGCAAACACCAUACACACACUUAAUAGAAAUGUUUAUUUAAUUUGUUUAAGCAGGGGGCUAGAAUAUAACCUGUAUGAGAACCUACACUUGUAACUCCACUGUGUUCCUCUAGCAUGUUGCUUGUUCAGAUCAAGUGAGUAUUCAGCAUAACUGGUUGAAAACUCCCAAAUCCACUUCAGUACUUCUGAUGCUGUCUCACAAUAAAUACCAGCUAAAUUUUCAUCUUAA